UAUUAGCUUACUAUUUAUUUCUAUUUGUUCAGGAACUAUUUGCUUGGUUGGAAACUAUUAAUACUGUUGUUGCCAGGUUUAGUUCUCCUCCUCUCCCUGCUCCAGUCUCCAGUUCAGCAAAGUUCCAGCGUCCCCUGUUCCCUUCUUCAUGUUCUCGAUUAUCACUAGCUGAUCAGCUGACUUCUCACCGCCAGCAGCUGGAUCAGCUGGAACAACAGCUGAUCCUCAGUAGCUCCAAUCCACCAUCUGGCGGUAAAAAGUUUCAAGACAAUGAAAAGCUUGAGUUCUUACAAAGUGAGAAGGACAGAUUCCAAGUUUAUAUUCGUUGUUUGGAAACUCUGAAGAGCAAACAUGAAUCCCAGCUUCUCUCCAGUCCUAUGAGACUGAUGGCGCAGUAGACCUGGCAUCAGAUUGUCUCGCAGUGAAUUGACAGCUGAUUCAAUUUGUUGGUAGCUGAUAUAAUUUUCACAGUUGAUUUAAUUAGGCUUACUGCUGAUGAAGUUUAAUUGACAGCUGAUUUAUUUUAUUUGUCAGCUGUAAAUAUCUAAUUGACCAACUUUUGUGAUGGUGUCAGCUGACUAAUCAAUGCAGUCAUCCCCAAUUGUCCCCUUGUCUCAUUGUCCCCUUGUCCUCUUCAGCCUGAUCGACCCAUUUUAGGACAAUGGGACUCAAAACAGUGAUAUUUCUUACUUCCAAAGUAGAUUGUGGCCAAAUUCAGGUUUUCAAGGUGCAGAUUGCAGAAUUUCAUAUUUAGACAUUAAUCAUUUUAUAGAGACUGUUAUUGUAAUUUCAAGUGACCCACCAUUUAAAGAGGACUAUGUAUGAUUCACAACGGUACGGUACUUAGUGGAAUAAAAAAUUGUUUACUUAUGGCAAUUUUCUGCGUUGUUAAUGUUAUUUGCAAAAUGCUUAUCUAAAGAACCUACAUUUGAACAUGAGCAAUUUUCAAAGAGGAAUACAUGUAUUUUUAUUUUACUCUGAAUCAGAGGAAAGCUUCAAUGGGUACAGUUUAUAAUUGGACAUGCCGCACUGUAGAUGAAUGGUCACUCAAGUUAACAAGUACAAUCUCUCUAGCUCUCUCUCUAUAUACAUAUAUAUAAAUAUUAAUAAUAAUUUAACGAGAUAUCACAAUACUACGUUACUUGAUAAUUGCGCAUUAAACUAUAAAUCGUAGUAUUUACAUUGUACAAGUAUGAUUUUGUUUUCAAGUACUUCAGCUUACAGGAUGGAGUACAAUAACAUUUAUGUACCAUGCAUAUUUUUCUCGAUAUGUUCAAACAAAUAAGUUUUUAACAUUUCCCACUGCAGUCAAUUUCAGAUUGUCACUCAGAAAAAUACACAAAUUUUUUAUAAAAACUUACCUUUAAUGAAAAAAUUCUAACAUUUAUUUUAAUGAAUUGAAAAGAGAAAUGAUUUUUUAAAACGCACUAUUUUUAGGCAGAAAUUAAAAAAAUUCAAAUUGUAAACAAUAAGUAUGAUUUAAGAAAUGUAGGGUAACCCACAAAUGAUGAGACUUCAGUAAAUUACCUGAUAUUGUAGAAAUCACAAACUAAGAAUCCCCAAGGGAUGGAAGGAUAAAAUAGAAUCCAGGAGUCAGUCGGACAGGAGCCAGGAACAAGAGAAGAUUUUCAAGCUUACUCUCAACAUAUUUACUUAAUCUGUAAUAUAUUAUAUCCUAAAGUAUCAGUAAAUAUAUAAUCUUGCAGUGGUGACCCCGAAGGAAGAAAAAUGGUUGUAACAAAUGUUGUUUCCUUGAAAUUGCCGCAGUUUUGAGCCGACUGGGCCAAGAUAUGGUUUGCACAGGCUAAAUCCCAGUUUGUAAUCAGGAAUGUUACUGUAGAGAUCACUUAAUAUCAUCACCUUCUAGCAGCUCUUCAGAAGGAUGUAGCUAUUACUCUGACAGAUGUCUUUGAACAUGUUCCUGAUGAAAAUUCAUACACUGCUCUGAAACUCCCGUCAUUUGAUGAAAUAUACCCAUACUGAUCUUCAGAAGGCUGAGAUGAAAUGCUCUCUGCCUGAUAUUGGAGAUCGAAAACCAUCUGAUCUUAUGGAUUUAAUGUUGGAUCUGUGUCCUAUUGGACUUCUCUUUAAAAUUCAAUGAUGUUGAUGGACCAAACCUCUGUAGAAUGAAAAACUCCACAUACCAGUCUUCUAGCAACACAUCAGUUUCAGACUCAGUGGCUUUCACAGAAAAAUUAAGGUGUAACAUAGCAGAACCUUUCAGAUUUUAAAGACAUUAUCAUUCCUGUUGUGUUUUUCAACUGUUGGACCUGUGGACAAGGAUCCUCAUAGGCAAGGGUGUGAAGAUGUCCUCAAUAUCAACGGGGUGGGAACCUUUUUCAACAUCCAUGCGGAAAACUGUGGGACAGCCAUUUUGAAGUGUAAAAAUUACACGUUUACAUAAAAAAUAUGAUUAUUUUAUUUAUUCAUGAAACAGUAACAUUUUAUACUUUUAGGAUCAAAACUGAUGCAAGAUAAUCUUGGAGAUGAAUUUUUGUCGGAUCCUCAUGAAAAUAAGAAGAAACCGAUGCAAGAGAAGAAUCAAGACGAGUAAGAAGUUGAUGAUAAUGAAAGUAA